rnacentral:rRNA from 1 species
GACGAACGCUGGCGGCGUGCUUAACACAUGCAAGUCGAACGGAAAGGCCCUGCUUUUGUGGGGUGCUCGAGUGGCGAACGGGUGAGUAACACGUGAGUAACCUGCCCUUGACUUUGGGAUAACUUCAGGAAACUGGGGCUAAUACCGGAUAGGAGCUCCUGCUGCAUGGUGGGGGUUGGAGAGUUUCGGCGGUUGGGGAUGGACUCGCGGCUUAUCAGCUUGUUGGUGGGGUAGUGGCUUACCAAGGCUUUGACGGGUAGCCGGCCUGAGAGGGUGGCCGGCCACAUUGGGACUGCGAUACGGCCCAGACUCCUACGGGAGGCAGCAGUGGGGAAUAUUGCACAAUGGGCGGAAGCCUGAUGCAGCAACGCCGCGUGCGGGAUGACGGCCUUCGGGUUGUAAACCGCUUUCGCCUGUGACGAAGCGGGAGUGACGGUAAUGGGUAAAGAAGCACCGGCUAACUACGUG